rnacentral:rRNA from 1 species
GACGAACGCUGGCGGCGUGCUUAACACAUGCAAGUCGAACGGAAAGGCACUGCGUUUGUGGGGUGCUCGAGGGGCGAACGGGUGAGUAACACGUGAGUAACCUGACCUUGACUUUGGGGUAACAUCAGGAAACGGGGGCUAAUACCAGAUAGGAGAUCCUGCACCAGGGAAGGGGUUGGAAAGUGUCGGCGGUUGGGGAUGGACGCGCGGCUUAUCCGCUUGUUGGUGGGGUAGUGGCUUACCAAGGCUUUGACGGGUAGCCGGCCUGGGAGGGUGACCGGCCCCAGUGUGCUGCGGGUGCGGCCCAGACUCAUUCUGGGGGCAAGAGCGGGGACUAUUGCCCACUGUGCGGAGGCCGGGUGCAGCACCUCCGCGUGCUAGAUCACGUCCUUCGGGUUGUAAACCGCUUUCGCCUGUGCCGAAGCGUUAGUGCCGUUACUGGGUAAAGAAGCCCCGGCUACCUCCUU